rnacentral:rRNA from 1 species
AAUAUAGGACAAUGGGGGAAACACUGAUCUAGCUAUGCCGCGUGUGUGAAGAAGGUCUUCGUAUUGUCAAGCACUUUAAGUUGGGAGGAAGGGCUUUAGUCUAAUACUCUGAAGAUUUGACGUUACCAACAGAAUAAGCACCGGCAAACUCUGUGCCAGCAGCCGCGGUAAUACAGGGGGUGCAAGCGUUAAUCGGAAUUACUGGGCGUAAAGCGCGCGUAGGUGGUUCAGUAAGAUGGGUGUGAAAUCCCCGGGCUUAACCUGGGAACUGCUUUCAUAACUGCUGAGCUAGAGUACGGUAGAGGGUAGUGGAAUUUCCUGUGUAGCGGUGAAAUGCGUAGAUAUAGGAAGGAACACCAGUGGCGAAGGCGACUACCUGGACUGAUACUGACACUGAGGUGCGAAAGCGUGGGGAGCAAAC